UUGUAAUGCGGCUUGGGUUACAAGAAAGGAUAUGAUUAAGAGAAUUCAACAAAGUUGUCUAUCCUAAGGGAGCAUUCCCCUACAUUCAACUCUACACAAUUUCCAUUUCUUUGAUCCCCGUCUUUUUUUUUUCUUUUUACAACCACACAACCAUGAGCCUUUUCUUUGUUUUUUUUUCUUUCUUUUCUUUUUCUUUGCUCUAUGGUUUCAAGGGUGAUUUCUUUUUCUUGUUUCUUUUCAUAUUUUCACCCUUUCAUAAAAACUCACUUCUCCAAGUUUCUAAUCAACUCUUUUUACUUUACUUUACUCUCCCCAACUUUAGAUUCCAAAACCAAAUUUAUUCAACGAUGCUCCCUACUUAGACAUAAGCAAAAGGAAAAAUUUUCAAACAACUCGGUUUGAGGGUUAAAUUGACACGAAAGAAAUUAGGAUUCAUUUAUUCACAAAAUUU
rnacentral:lncRNA from 1 species